rnacentral:ncRNA from 1 species
GAACCAGGGGGUCGGGUUGUUCUGCCACGCGGAGCGACCUAGGGGUACAUGGAGUGCCUCCUUUAUCGGACCGGGUUCUGCGAGGC